CGGCCCGCCCCUCUCCUCCUCCUGCCUCCCUCCCUCCGGGCGUUGGGCUCCUGCGAUUGACCGAAAGCGGCGGGACCGGCGCUCCCCGCCCGCCCCCAGCCCUCAGGCUCCUCCAAUAGGAGGGCGGCUUUUCAGGAAGGCGGAGGAGGUGGUGGGCAAUCGUCGGACUGACAGGGAGGCUCGGCCAAUGGGAGAGGCGAACCGGAGCUACCGCCUGCGCGUGCCAAUCGCAGGCGGCAACUCUUGGGGUGGGCGGGGCCCCGGGCAGGCGGGGGCCGGUAGCGAAGCGGCGCGGGGCGGAGUCCUCGGGCGCAGCGGCGGUGGCAGCGGCGGCGCCCCUCUGGGUGACUUGGCCGUGAGAAAGUGAAAGGAGCCCGCAGGCGGCGGCGACAGCUGCGCUGGGAGGGGCCUGUUUCCAGGCUCUGAGGCCCCGCGCACUCGGGGGGUGCGGAGCAAGCUUCUCCGUGUGCUCCGUGACAACCGUAAAUACACUUUUAAACGUAGUAGGGCUUGGCUGCUCCAAGUUGCGCAGGUGUCCUCGGGAGGCGGUGCACCCGGGGACACACACGACUCGAGUCCGGCGUUAGGUGGCCCCCUCCCUUGGGCGUGACGACGCCCAGGUCCUCGCCUGCCCGAGCGCAGGAGAGCAGGACUAGGGAACGACCUUGCUGCGUGCUGCGGGUCCGGUCCAGGUGCACAUCGGGGCGCCGGGGACGCGAGCAACUCAAGAGAGUCUCCGGGUCUGGCCGUCGUUCCGGUGUCGUCAUGUCCCCGGCGGGGCACAGCGCCUGCUUUUCUCGCAGAGCCCUCCCGUCCCAUACGUACUUACACUGUUAUAAGACAUCCCCAAGUGACCAGAUUUUAGAGUCUUACAGUAAAAUUGAUACUUGUAGAUGCCUUAGCUAAUUCCUUAAUUGGUACGUAUCUAGCCACAACUUUAAACUGCCGAGGGAAGAUGUAAGACGGUUGUGUCGCUUUUUUCUCCCUUCGAAUAAACUUUUCACUCGGUACCUGUUCUUUGCUACUAAACUGUGUUAAUCACCGCCAAAGCCACGAAGAAAUGUGGAAAUGUUGGCCCUCAAGAAAUUGGAAAUCUUAUUGAGGCAAGAAUUACAAGGGAAAAGGUGGCUUACAAGCGGGGAAAAAAAUGAUUCAAGAAAAUAAAAUCGAAAACUGCAUAGUGAGGAAGUCAGGACACUAGUAAUUGUCUAAUGAAAUGUGUUUAUUCUUUGCUCACCGAAGCCGGACUGGCAAGCCUGUUGCUAACCAACUUGCCAGGAGACCUUUCAGCUGGGCAAAAUGUGCUUUCACUUUGUUCCAGGUCAAAUGGGUAAAGCAAGUUGAAGGUAUUGUGUGAGCAAAUCAGACAUGUUGAAUUGCUAAUGAAGUAAAAACAGGAGCACACAAAAUUCCUGGAACUGAAAUGGCAUUGGAAUAUCCUGUUAGCAACAGUAGUGAUGUUCUCUACUCUUUGCUCAGUUCUUCUAUGCCCUCAGGAUUGAUCACUGGAUCAAGGCUAUCUUAUGGAAUCCAUUUUGAGAACUGAGUUGUGUGGCUGGGAAAUACAGAUUAAAUGGAUAUUUAAGGAAGCAAGUAUGUCACGCCUCAAUUGCUACCACCAUUUUAUCCCUGGUUCCUGGUGACUUUCAGAGGAGACAAGAAAUCACAGACUCUGUACAGACGAAAGGAGCUUCACGGAUUAAUGGACUCGUCCAGGGCAGAUAAAUCUCCGGAUGGAAAGAGAUCGACUUCUCCGCCGGUGUUUUCUCCUGUCAAUCAGCGGGCUCGUCCUGCAGAGUCUUCCCAAGAUGCAGAGACGUUCAGGCUGCCGUGUCCCUCACGCCUGGUCAUUGACAACUCAAUGCUGUCUCCAGUACUGGGAUGUGAGCUCCAUGGGAUCGUUUCUCUUGACACCUCAAGGCCAGAAGGUGGAAAAAAGAAUGGAGACUCCAAUGGGGAUGGGGGAGAGACAGAAAGAGAAAGAGAGAGAGAGAGAGAGAGAGGAAGCCUUUUCUCCCAGGCACUGAUGCCAUGAGGCUUGCUGGAGAUUUACAAGAGAUGACUGGAUAGGGACUGCCACCUGGAAGGCAUGGACGCUCGAACCCUAGAGUCUCAGCAACAGCAAUAUGCUCUUGCUCAACAGGCUGAGAGUUGGCCCCAAGGAGUCAGAGGGCCAUUCCAGGGAUGAGUGUGCGAACACCAGCUGUACGCAGGACUCGUAUAGACCACAAAGUGCUCCAACCAAAAGACUCUGCUGCCGCCCACACCAAGUUUAUGUUUGCAUUUGGUCACCAAGUUCUCCAAUCUCACCCAUCUUGCUUACUCAGAGCACCCCAGAAGCCAGCCAAUAGCAGUUAAAGGCAUAGGCCACCAAGGCCUCCCACUCAUCACGGAGUUUGAGUCCUGUCAUCGCUGCUCUUUCUUAGGGGUUGGACCAGUUGUCCUUCAAACUUCUCACCUAUGAACUCACCACCCCUACAAAACGAUGUAACCCGGAUGGCUGCAGGGGUGCUGCUCUCUCUUAAAACUUAGAUGAUUUAGGCUCAGAGCUCCAAAUCCUCACCCAUCGCUCGCAUCACAGCCGAGCCCUACCCCUGUCAGAUCAUCGUGGCAUCGGCCCCCCAUAGGAGCACGAACCCCACUGCAAACUGCACAUGAGGGAUCCCGGUUGUGCACUCCCCACAAGAAUCCAACGCCUGGUGAUCCGAGGUGGAGCAAGGCAGGCGGCCCCACCUCUGCCUGUCCGUAGACAAACUGUUUUCCACCAAACCGGUCCCUGGGGUCAAAAAGGUUGAAGACCACUGGUCUAGAAGGAAAUUUAGUCGUUUCAACUUGAGCCAAUCAGAAUUGGCCAGAUUUAUAAAUAGAAUAACUCAAUGUGUGACAUAAACUUGAAGGCUUUAGGAGACUGGGCUUUUAAAUUGUGUCAUUUUAAUAAACUGAGUAUUUAAUAUCCCCA